GCCAAGGGAACGGGCUUGG
rnacentral:ncRNA from 2 species